rnacentral:rRNA from 2 species
CGGAGAGUUUGAUCCUGGCUCAGGACGAACGCUGGCGGCGUGCUUAACACAUGCAAGUCGAACGAUGAAGCGGUGCUUUUGUAUCGUGGAUUAGUGGCGAACGGGUGAGUAACACGUGAGUAACCUGCCCCCUUCUUUGGGAUAAGCAUUGGAAACGGUGUCUAAUACUGGAUAUUCACAUUUUGCCGCAUGGUGGGGUGUGGAAAGGUUUUUCUGGUGGGGGAUGGGCUCGCGGCCUAUCAGCUUGUUGGUGGGGUGAUGGCCUACCAAGGCUUUGACGGGUAGCCGGCCUGAGAGGGUGACCGGUCACACUGGGACUGAGAUACGGCCCAGACUCCUACGGGAGGCAGCAGUGGGGAAUAUUGCACAAUGGGCGAAAGCCUGAUGCAGCGACGCCGCGUGAGGGAUGACGGCCUUCGGGUUGUAAACCUCUUUCAGUAAGGACGCAGGGCAAUCUUUGGGUUGUUUGACGGUACUUGCAGAAGAAGCGCCGGCUAACUACGUGCCAGCAGCCGCGGUAAUACGUAGGGCGCAAGCGUUGUCCGGAAUUAUUGGGCGUAAAGGGCUUGUAGGCGGCGUGUCGCGUCUGUCGUGAAAUCCAAUGGCUUAACUGUUGGCUUGCGGUGGGUACGGGCAUGCUUGAGUGCGGUAGGGGAGACUGGAAUUCCUGGUGUAGCGGUGGAAUGCGCAGAUAUCAGGAGGAACACCGGUGGCGAAGGCGGGUCUCUGGGCCGUUACUGACGCUGAGGAGCGAAAGCGUGGGGAGCGAACAGGAUUAGAUACCCUGGUAGUCCACGCUGUAAACGUUGGGCACUAGGUGUGGGGGCUGUCAUGGUUUCUGCGCCGUAGCUAACGCAUUAAGUGCCCCGCCUGGGGAGUACGGCCGCAAGGCUAAAACUCAAAGGAAUUGACGGGGGCCCGCACAAGCGGCGGAGCAUGCGGAUUAAUUCGAUGCAACGCGAAGAACCUUACCAAGGCUUGACAUGCACCGG